rnacentral:rRNA from 1 species
AACGCGAAGAACCUUACCAGGUCUUGACAUCCCGCUGAAAUCUUUAGAGAUAAAGGCUUCCUUCGGGACAGCGGAGACAGGUGGUGCAUGGUUGUCGUCAGCUCGUGUCGUGAGAUGUUGGGUUCAGUCCCGCAACGAGCGCAACCCUUAUCUUUAGUUGCCAGCAUUAAGUUGGGCACUCUAGAGAGACAGCCGGCGAAAGCCGGAGGAAGGUGGGGAUGACGUCAAAUCAUCAUGCCCCUUAUGACCUGGGCUACACACGUGCUACAAUGGCUGCGACAGAGGGACGCGAACUCGCGAGGGGGAGCAAAUCCCAGAAAAGCAGUCACAGUUCGGAUCGUAGGCUGCAACUCGCCUACGUGAAGUCGGAAUCGCUAGUAAUCGCAGAUCAGCAUGCUGCGGUGAAUACGUUCCCGGGCCUUGUACACACCGCACGA